CAGAGCUGAACUAACCCAGUAUCAAAAGAGAUUUAUUGAACUCUAUGGUCAGGUUGCAGCAACCCACAAAGAAACCAAACAGUUCUUCACCCUCUAUAAUACACUGGAUGACAAAAAGGUGUUUCUGGAAAAAGAGGUUAAUUUGCUGAACUCCAUUCAUGACAACUUUCUGCAAGCUAUGGCAUCUUCUGGAGCCCGAGAGCAAUUUCUGCGACAGAUGGAACAAAUUGUUGAGGGAAUUAAACAGAACAGAAUUAA